rnacentral:rRNA from 1 species
UACACUCCUACGGGAGGCAGCAGUGGGGAAUUUUGGACAAUGGGCGAAAGCCUGAUCCAGCAAUGCCGCGUGAGUGAAGAAGGCCUUCGGGUUGUAAAGCUCUUUUGUCAGGGAAGAAACGGUGAAAGCUAAUAUCUUUUGCUAAUGACGGUACCUGAAGAAUAAGCACCGGCUAACUACGUGCCAGCAGCCGCGGUAAUACGUAGGGUGCAAGCGUUAAUCGGAAUUACUGGGCGUAAAGCGUGCGCAGGCGGUUUUGUAAGUCUGAUGUGAAAUCCCCGGGCUCAACCUGGGAAUUGCAUUGGAGACUGCAAGGCUAGAAUCUGGCAGAGGGGGGUAGAAUUCCACGUGUAGCAGCGAAAUGCGUAGAUAUGUGGAGGAACACCGAUGGCGAAGGCAGCCCCCUGAGUCAAGAUUGACGCUCAUGCACGAAAGCGUGGGGAGCAAACAGGAUUAGAAACCCCGGUAGUCCCAU